CAGACUAACGGGGCUGCCUGAUGCUGGGCUGCUCCCUCCAGAACUGUGAGCCCCAGUAAGCCUUCUCCCUUCCUGAGAAGUCCGUCCACGGCACUCUAGUCAGUCACGACUAGCUGAGUCACAGUCACUCACUGCCAAACCAACAGCCUAGUGUGGCCCUUCCCUUCCCGCCUGCCUUUCUUCAUAAAGCCGGCACUGCCUUCUCACCCAGCGUGGUACUGAAAACAAUACAGGAAAAGUAAAAUGAGCGAUGGGUGCUACAAUCCCUACUCAAAGCCAGCUCACAUGUCAGAAGGGAAGACAGAAGGCCUCAAAACUGUCCUCCGAUGGGGAGACCAUGCUAGGUGACAAAGCUGUCCUCUGAUGGGGGGACCGUGCCAGGUGACAAAGCUGUCCUCUGAUGGGGAGACCGUGCUAGGUGACAAAGCUGUCCUCAUGGGGAGACCGUGCUAGGUGACAAAGCUGUCCUCUGAUGGGGAGACUGUGCUAGGUGACAAAGCUGUCCUCUGAUGGGGAGACUGUGCUAGGUGACAAAGCUGUCCUCUGAUAGAGACCAUGCCAGAUGACAAAGCUGUCCUCUGAUGGGGAGACUGCUAGGUGACAAAGCUGUCCUCAUGGGGAGACUGUGGUAGGUGACAAAGCAGUCCUCUGAUGGGGAGAUUGUGCUAGGUGACAAAGCUGUCCUCAUGGGGAGACUGUGCUAGGUGACAAAGCUGUCCUCUGAUGGGGAGACCGUGCUAGGUGACAAAGCUGUCCUCAUGGGGAGACCGUGCUAGGUGACAAAGCUGUCCUCAUGGGGAGACCAUGCCAGGUGACAAAGCUGUCCUCAUGGGGAGACCAUGCCAGGUGACAAAGCUGUCCUCAUGGGGAGACCAUGCCAGGUGACAAAGCUGUCCUCAUGGGGAGACUGUGCUAGGUGACAAAGCUGUCCUCUGAUGGGGAGACCGUGCUAGGUGACAAAGCUGUCCUCAUGGGGAGACCAUGCCAGGUGACAAAGCUGUCCUCAUGGGGAGACCAUGCCAGGUGACAAAGCUGUCCUCAUGGGGAGACCAUGCCAGGUGACAAAGCUGUCCUCAUGGGGAGACUGUGCUAGGUGACAAAGCUGUCCUCAUGGGGAGACUGUGCUAGGUGACAAAGCUGUCCUCUGAUGGGGAGACCGUGCUAGGUGACAAAGCUGUCCUCUGAUGGGGAGACCGUGCUAGGUGACAAAGCUGUCCUCUGAUGGGGAGACCGUGCUAGGUGACAAAGCUGUCCUCAUGGGGAGACUGUGCUAGGUGACAAAGCUGUCCUCUGAUGGGGAGACUGUGCCAGGACACUAAGCUGUCCUCUGAUGGGGAGACUGUGGUAGGUGACAAAGCAGUCCUCUGAUGGGGAGACCGUGCUAGGUGACAAAGCUGUCCUCUGAUGGGGAGACCGUGCCAGGUGACAAAGCUGUCCUCUGAUGGGGAGACCGUGCUAGGUGACAAAGCUGUCCUCUGAUGCGGAGACCGUGCCAGGUGACAAAGCUGUCCUCUGAUGGGGAGACUGUGCUAGGUGACAAAGCUGUCCUCUGAUGGGGAGACCGUGCUAGGUGACAAAGCUGUCCUCUGAUGGGGAGACUGUGCCAGGUGACAAAACUGCCCUCUGAUGGGGAGACCGUGCUAGGUGACAAAGCUGUCCUCUGAUGGGGAGACUGUGCCAGGUGACAAAGCUGUCCUCUGAUGGGGAGACUGUGCUAGGUGACAAAGCUGUCCUCUGAUGGGGAGACUGUGCUAGGUGACAAAGCUGUCCUCUGAUGGGGAGACCGUGCUAGGUGACAAAGCUGUCCUCUGAUGGGGAGACCAUGCCAGGUGACAAAGCUGUCCUCUGAUGGGGAGACUGUGCUAGGUGACAAAGCUGUCCUCUGAUGGGGAGACUGUGCCAGGUGACAAAGCUGUCCUCUGAUGGGGAGACCGUGCCAAGUGACAAAGCUGUCCUCAUGGGGAGACUGUGCCAGGACACUAAGCUGUUCUCUGAUGGGAAGACUGUGCUAGGUGACAAAAGGAAACAGAGCACUGUGGCCGUGAGGCAGGGGUGACUCGUGACCCAGCCACAUGGAACAGCUGGGCCGUGAAGGCUGGAGGGGACCCUGGAGGCCUGGGUGCCCACAGCGGGAAGCGGUCCCCACUGUGGCCGCCUGGCCCCCACAGCGUCCUUCCUUCCUGAGCACUGGGACACACAGUAUUUCUGCUCACAUUAGGCAAUGGGCUCAACUUUAGAGCAAAAUACAUGAUGCAGAACUGCUCCCAAGCACAAGCUCCUCUGUGAGUGCGCGGUGGUGCUUCCUGACACCCAGCGAAUGGGCACGCGUUUGCUGCCGCACCCUAUGGCCACUCCUGCUCCCGCCCCUCCUGGACAGCUGCCCCUCACCUACAGCAUCCUCCCCUCUUCUCACGUUUGACUCCUGCGAUGGGGCGGGGAUGGGGGGUGAGGGCUGACCCAGCAGGCCGGGUCCCUGGAGGGUUCCGAGAGGAUGGGAUAGAAGAAGGGAGGAGACUCCAGACCCUGGAGGCGGCAUGGGAACCAGGAACAGAAGCUGUGUGGAGGGAGCAGAGAUAGGAGAGCCAGGGGAGCGAGAGCCAGGAGCAGCUGUUCUGUGGGUG